AGGGGUGUUCAAUCCGGAUAUCGGUUCGGUUUCGGUUCGGUUUUUUCGGUUUUCGGUAUUUCGGUUAGUAAAAUAUAACUACCAUUCUAAAUCCAUAUUUACUUCGGUUCGGUUCGGUUUAUAUACCGUCGGUUUUCGGUUUAUUCGGUUUUAUACCAAAAACAUAAUUAUUUUGUUUGAGAUCAUAUUAUAUGAAUUUUAGAGUCAUAUUGUCAACACAGUCAUUU
rnacentral:lncRNA from 1 species